rnacentral:tRNA from 2 species
GGAGGCAUGGCUCUGUGGUAGAGCCUUGUCUGGCAUGCAGGAAGCCUAGGUUCAAUCUCUAGUAUCUCUA